CGGGUGCGAUUCCCGGCGGCUCCACCAUCUUCUCCCCGCGUUAUCGGCGGAGGCAUAUGGGGCCGACUAGCAUCGACGGACGUGUAAAGAAGACUGCUUUCGCCCGUCCUGGCCCACCGUAUCGGGCCAUUUUCUAACUGCGAACGAUAACUUCGCUGGAGAAGUCGCUCUCGCCGCAUAAGCGGUUCGGGUGAUUUCGAACACUUAAGUCCCCAGGGAUCAGUUCCUGGGGCGGGGCCGCCAGGGGGCCUGCCAACAGAACCCCUGGCACU
rnacentral:tmRNA from 1 species